AAAAAAGGAAUAACACAUUAGUCGUUCUUAUGUACUUCUGUAGGAAAGGGUAAAAACUCAAACCCUAGUGCCUUUUUUUUUUCUUCGGUACGGGAAAGGCGAAGUGACGGAGAGAACGACUAUAAUCGAAAUAAUCGUCAAAAUCAAAGGAAUCGACAUGAGCGAGUGGAACAGCCGACGAAGAACAACUCAGACCUCCAUUAAUUGUGUUAUAUUUUCUGAAGUCAUUGAAUUUCAAACCUAUUUCAUCAGAUAUAUAUCAGUUGACAUGAAGCAGUUUUAAAUCUAUCUUUCAAGAUUUUAGAGAUUUCAAUUCAUUGAAUAGUGUCUGCAGCAGUAACAUAUUCAACUCAAGGCUUGCAAUGUGCAUCUACAAGUCAACAUUUGGAGAGUAGAUUGGUUGCUUUGACUUUAGUCAAGCCAGAAAAGAUCUCCUUGAUAUAUUUAUAUUUACUACCCUUCUGACAACUUCAAGAGAUAGAAUGCUUUUCUCGAGUCCAAGGGCGAUUUCGUCACUUUCGAACAGUUGGUGGAUACUUUAAGACCACAUUAUCUCGUUUUCAGUAAUUCUGAAAGUCCCACAGGUUGUUUCCUUUCUAUUUGUUAGUUGGAUUUGAUAAUGGUGAUGACAACUUGUAAUAAACUGGAGAAUCUUGGUUAGUAUGUUGAUCAGGUCUUUGUAGUUUGACCAGUUGACUUUGUUCUCUCAGAGCAAGUUACUGUGGUUCACUUCUGUUAUGUUCUUGUAAAGAGAGUUGCUUCAACUUUGUUAAUGGUGGAUGCAUGAAUCAACUGUGUGACAUUUUCUCAAAGCUUCUUGGAGUUAUAGAUUCAGCAGAAAUUGAUGAAUUAAUUUCAGUUCAAUAGUUGAAUAUUGCUUGUUCUUGGUGAAACAGAUGGUUUGUUUAUUGUCAUACAAAGCUACUAUUUAGUUCAUCAAAUUGUUGGUUUCUAAAUUGGGAUAUACUAACACCUCCUUUUUCUUCUUAAGGCAUGUUUUUAUUAAUCUUUUUUUUAUCGUUAUAUUUCAAGAUUUUAGUAAUUUUGCCAUACAGGAAAGUGGUUUUCUUCGUUCUAUCAUCUUCUAUACACUGUUAUGACAUCUUUAUUUGUUUAUUAACCAGGGUUAAUGUUUGUUGUGAGCUCUCAACUACGGUUGUUCUUGCGAUCUGCUUCGAGGGUACAAGAGUCAAUUCCUCUUCGUUAUGCAUCUCCAAAGGCUUUAUUUUUGUAGUCCACGUGAAAUUGGAGUAGUUUUGAAGACACAUUUGAGAGUGGUUAGCAUAAUAUUUGAAUGUGAUAGAUCGUCUGACUACAUCAUUCUGAAGAACAUGUAUUUGGGUUUAUGGGAGCUCUGUUGUCUUUCUAGGUCUGAUUGUGGAUGUUAGGCUUUGUUGGCCAUAGGACAUUUUCCAGAGGUUGUUUCGGGUUCUGAUUGUUGCGUUACAUUCUGUCAAAGAAUUGAACCGGUAUUUGGCGGCUGUUGCCAUGCCAAAAUCUAGGAAAGACAAGCUGGUUGCACAAGCGAUACGUAAACUCAAGAUGCGUGCAAAAUGGUAAAUGAUAUUAGAGAUUUUCUUGAGAAAAAGAGUAAAUUACUAAAAUCAUCCCUAUGGUUUGGCAAAAUUGCACGUUUGGUCCCUAACCUUUUUUUUGCACUCGGAUCGUCCCUAUGGUUUGAUUUUGUUACUAAAAUCGUCCCUAUGGUUUGGUCAAAAUUGCAUGUUUGGUCCCUAACUUUAUGUAUGUAAGGGACGAAAAACGCAACAAAAUCAAACCACAGGGACGAUCCGAGUGCAAAAAAAAAGUUAGGGACCAAACGUGCAAUUUUGACCAAACCAUAGGGACGAUUUCAGUAAUUUACUCUGAGAAAAAUGACUUCAUGUAGGUAAAGUAAAACCAUUUUGUUAUUUUCUUUUUUCUUUUUUAUGGCUAAUUAUUAUUUGUUAUUGAAGUUUGAAAUUUCGAUGAUGGAGUUGAUAACCGUUGGGGAUCUAAAAAAGCUUGUUGAUGGUGGAGUGAAGUGUGGAUUUGAGUUUGUAAAAGUGAUUACGACCGAAGGGAUUGAUUGGACAAAUAUUACCUGUGGAUUUUAUAUGGUUGAUGCUGACUAUGGUAACUUUAUGGAGAUAGACUGAAAAAUUGUUAAGUGAUAAGUUAUAUAUCUUUAUUAGUACAAGGAUGAUUUAUUAUGUGCUUAGUCCAAACUAAAACUUAUUUGAGUUUUGAUUCUUGAAUCAAGGUUUCUUAUGGAUUUUUACCAUGUUUUGGUGAAACCUAUUGAGUUUUGAUUCUUGAAUUUGUUUGUGACUAUAUGUGUUUAUUUUGGACUAAACACAUAACAAAUCAUCUGUGUACUAAUAAAUAUAUAUAACUUACUACUUAACAAUUCUUUAGUUGUAUAUCAUCUCCAUGCACUUACCAUAGUCAGCAUCAACCAUCUAAAAUUCAUAUGUAGUAUUUGUCAAAUCAAUCUUGGUCCUAAUGUUUUUUACAAACUCAAAUGCACGCUUCACUUAACCAUCAACAAGUUUGUUUAGAUUCCCAGUAGUAAUCAAUUCCAUCAUCGGAAUUUUAAACUUCAGUAGCAAAUAAUAAUUAGCCAUAGAGAAAAAAGAAAAUAAAAAACGGCUUUAUUUUAUCUCUAUGAAUUCACGUUUCUCAAGAAAAUCUCUAAUGUGAUUUGCCAUUUUUGAUCGCAUCUUGAGUUUAUGUAUCACUUUUGAAACCACAGAUUGUCUUUCCUAGAAUAAAAAAUUUAAGGUAAUGACAUUGAAUA